rnacentral:tRNA from 1 species
GCGGUCAUGGCGAAACUGGUAGACGCGUACGUUUGAGGGGCGUAUGACUAUGUCAUGAGAGUUCAAGUCUCUCUGGCCGCACCA